rnacentral:rRNA from 1 species
GAGUUUGAUCCUGGCUCAGGACGAACGCUGGCGGCGUGCCUAACACAUGCAAGUCGAACGGACGAGGAGGAGCUUGCUUCUCCAAGUCAGUGGCGGACGGGUGAGUAACGCGUGAGUAACCUGCCCUUCAGAGGGGGAUAACGUCUGGAAACGGACGCUAAUACCGCAUGACAUAUUUCCAUCGCAUGGUGGAGAUAUCAAAGGAGCAAUCCGCUGAAGGGUGGACUCGCGUCCGAUUAGAUAGUUGGCGGGGUAACGGCCCACCAAGUCGACGAUCGGUAGCCGGACUGAGAGGUUGAACGGCCACAUUGGGACUGAGACACGGCCCAGACUCCUACGGGAGGCAGCAGUGGGGGAUAUUGCACAAUGGGCGAAAGCCUGAUGCAGCAACGCCGCGUGAGGGAAGACGGUUUUCGGAUUGUAAACCUCUGUUCUAAGUGACGAACAAAUGACGGUAGCUUAGGAGAAAGCCCCGGCUAACUACGUGCCAGCCGCCGCGGUAAUAC